CCUACGGGAGGCAGCAGUGAGGAAUAUUGGUCAAUGGGCGCGAGACUGAACCAGCCAAGUAGCGUGAAGGAUGAAUGUCCUACGGGUUGUAAACUUCUUUUAUCAAGGAAUAAAGUCAGGCACGUGUGCCUGUUUGUGUGUACUUUAUGAAUAAGGAUCGGCUAACUCCGUGCCAGCAGCCACGGUAAUACGGAGGAUGCGAGCGUUAUCCGGAUUUAUUGGGUUUAAAGGGAGCGUAGAUGGGUUGUUAAGUCAGUUGUGAAAGUUUGGGGCUCAACCGUAAAAUGGCAAUUGAUACUGGCAGCCUUGAGUACAGUUGAGGUAGGCGGAAUUCGCGGUGUAGCGGUGAAAUGCUUAGAUAUCACGCAGAACUCCGAUUGCGAAGGCAGCAUACUAAACUGACACUGACAUUGAUGCUCGAAAGUGUGGGUAUCAAACAGGAUUAGAUACCCUUGUAGUC
rnacentral:rRNA from 1 species